rnacentral:rRNA from 1 species
GACGGGGGGGGCAAGUGUUCUUCGGAAUGACUGGGCGUAAAGAGCUUGUAGGCGGUUUGUCGCGUCUGCUGUGAAAAUCCGGGGCUCAACCCCGGACUUGCAGUGGGUACGGGCAGACUGGAGUGCGGUAGGGGAGAUUGGAAUUCCUGGUGUAGCGGUGGAAUGCGCAGAUAUCAAGUGGAACACCAGUGGCGAAGGCGAGUCUCUGGACAUUUCCUGACGCUGAGGCACGAAAGCCAG